rnacentral:rRNA from 1 species
CCUACGGGGUGCAGCAGUAGGGAAUAUUGCUCAAUGGGGGAAACCCUGAAGCAGCAACGCCGCGUGGAGGAUGAAGGUUUUCGGAUUGUAAACUCCUUUUGUUAGAGAAGAUAAUGACGGUAUCUAACGAAUAAGCACCGGCUAACUCCGUGCCAGCAGCCGCGGUAAUACGGAGGGUGCAAGCGUUACUCGGAAUCACUGGGCGUAAAGAGCGCGUAGGCGGGAUAGCAAGUCAGAUGUGAAAUCCUAUGGCUUAACCAUAGAACUGCAUUUGAAACUGUUAUUCUAGAGUAUGGGAGAGGUAGGUGGAAUUCUUGGUGUAGGGGUAAAAUCCGUAGAGAUCAAGAGGAAUACUCAUUGCGAAGGCGACCUGCUGGAACAUUACUGACGCUGAUGCACGAAAGCGUGGGGAGCAAACAGGAUUAGAUACCCCAGUAGUC